AAUCACCACUGUAUGUUACUCAGAGACUCAUGAAUUGAUGAAUUUACAGCAUUGACACUGUUGUUUAUUUCUGUGAAGCUGCUUUGAAUCUGUCUGUACUGUAUAAAGCUCUUGUGCUGGAGUUUUUCCCGCCUUCAUAUCUGCUGUUAUAAACUGAAGUGUCAUGUUUCUGCUGUGUUUCCAGUUCUCACUGUCUGCGCGCCGCUGCCUUCUACAUCCGAGGCCUUCUGUCCUUCUUCCAGGGACGCUACAAUGAAGCCAAGCGUUUCCUGCGCGAGACGCUGAAGAUGUCGAAUGCGGAGGAUCUGAAUCGUCUGACGGCCUGCUCUCUGGUGCUGCUGGGACACAUAUUCUUCGUGCUGGGGAACCACAGAGAGAGCAACAACAUGGUGGUUCCUGCGAUGCAGCUGGCCAGUAAGAUCCCAGACAUGUCUGUGCAGCUCUGGUCAUCGGCUCUGCUCAAGGGUCAGUUCAACACACACAAACUCACACUC